ensembl:lncRNA
ACUGGUGGCUAGCCUGCUAGCCUUUAGCUCGGCUACUUGGAGUAACCGAAGUGCACCUCUGAACUGUUUUUGUAGUUUCACUGUCUUUUAGAAAGCUUAGCCACAGAAAUGCUGCGGAGGGGCCCAGACUAAACAUGAAGAUAUUUUGCAAAUACAAGCAGAGCAGCCAAUGAAAGUGAAUGUUUUUUAUCAUUAUUUCUGAUGGAGAACAGAAUACCGGAGAGGAUAAAGCAGCCAAAAGGCAGGACUUUCUGUACUGGAGUUCUUAAUGCAAAGCUAAACAAAACGGCAUCAAAGCUAUUGCACAACUGAAGCUCCAGUCCCUUCAGCAGAACAAGAGGAACUCUUUGUACAUGUGCGCAUUUCACAAAUGUUUGAC